rnacentral:ncRNA from 1 species
CCACGUGACACGGGGUGCCGCGAGCAGCGGCUGAGAUCACACCCGUCGAACCUGAUCUAGUCAGUACUAGCGAAGGGAUGUCGCAAUGCGCGAUG